ACUCCUGCGGGAGGCAGCAGUGGGGAAUUUUGGACACUGGGCGAAAGCCUGAUCCAGCAAUGCCGCGUGUGUGAAGAAGGCCUUCGGGUUGUAAAGCACUUUUGUCCGGAAAGAAAUCCUUGGCUCUAAUACAGUCGGGGGAUGACGGUACCGGAAGAAUAAGCACCGGCUAACUACGUGCCAGCAGCCGCGGUAAUACGUAGGGUGCGAGCGUUAAUCGGAAUUACUGGGCGUAAAGCGUGCGCAGGCGGUUUGCUAAGACCGAUGUGAAAUCCCCGGGCUCAACCUGGGAACUGCAUUGGUGACUGGCAGGCUAGAGUAUGGCAGAGGGGGGUAGAAUUCCACGUGUAGCAGUGAAAUGCGUAGAGAUGUGGAGGAAUACCGAUGGCGAAGGCAGCCCCCUGGGCCAAUACUGACGCUCAUGCACGAAAGCGUGGGGAGCAAACAGGAUUAGAUACCCCUGUAGUCCCAUGAU
rnacentral:rRNA from 1 species